CCUACGGGAGGCAGCAGUGGGGAAUAUUGCACAAUGGGGGAAACCCUGAUGCAGCGACGCCGCGUGAGUGAAGAAGUAUUUCGGUAUGUAAAGCUCUAUCAGCAGGGAAGAAAAUGACGGUACCUGACCAAGAAGCCCCGGCUAACUACGUGCCAGCAGCCGCGGUAAUACGUAGGGGGCAAGCGUUAUCCGGAUUUACUGGGUGUAAAGGGAGCGUAGACGGUUGUGCAAGUCAGAAGUGAAAGCCCGGGGCUCAACUCCGGGACUGCUUUUGAAACUGUGAAACUGGAGUGCAGGAGAGGUAAGCGGAAUUCCUGGUGUAGCGGUGAAAUGCGUAGAUAUCAGGAGGAACACCAGUGGCGAAGGCGGCUUACUGGACUGUAACUGACGUUGAGGCUCGAAAGCGUGGGGAGCAAACAGGAUUAGAUACCCCGGUAGU
rnacentral:rRNA from 1 species